AGCUGGCUGCAGCCAGGAUGGCCACGCCCUUCCCACCUGUCCUGGCUUGCGGCCACCCAACACGAAGGGACAGGAUUCCGAAGGGACAGGAUUCCACUUUCUGCGGCUGCACAGGGAGAUGAGUUAACCUUCAAGGGAAGCCACUUUUAGGCCCAGAUCAGGUGAGAAGCGGAAGUUUACUCCUGAGCCAAAGAUAACGGGACAAGUGAGGUGCGGGAAGAAACCAGCGCAGGGACCACAGGAGAGAGAGCCGCUGACCUCAGCGCAGCGCUAAGGUGGGGAGCCUGGGAAGGUCCUGGUGGCCAAGGACUCCCUCCGGUCCAGCUGCUCCUGCUGAAGCACAAUUAGCAAAGCCGGCGUGCUGCCCGAGGCUAACGAUGUUUAUCCAGACGUACUGCACCGGAGGAACCCGCCCCACAUUCCCGGCGGAGCUCCGCAAAGACGCCCCCCGCGGGUGCGCAACCCGCCGCCCGCCCCCGCCUCCUUCCUGCGCAGUAACAGGCACUUGAUCCCAGCGAGCCUGGCGCGGCGGGGUCGGGCCUCCCAGCCGGAGCCCACCAAGCAGACCCGCCGGGGCCGGAGGCCCGACGGCGUCACCGUGUGAAAGUCGCAGAAGUCUGGACAUUUGGUUUCACCGGAGGGGAGGAAGAAAGAACACAAGCUCUUCUAAGCGCACCACAGAAAUGCUACACGUGGCUGGCUCCCUUUCCCCCAUCCCUCAAGAUGCUGACAAUAAGGACUGUGUGUUUGUGACAUUUGUCAUUUUAUAAUAAUGAGUGAAA